rnacentral:rRNA from 1 species
AGUGAACGCUGGCGGUAGGCCUAACACAUGCAAGUCGAACGGCAGCACAGUAAGAGCUUGCUCUUACGGGUGGCGAGUGACGGACGGGUGAGGAAUACAUCGGAAUCUACUUUUUCGUGGGGGAUAACGUAGGGAAACUUACGCUAAUACCGCAUACGACCUACGGGUGAAAGCAGGGGAUCUUCGGACCUUGCGCGAUCUAAUGAGCCGAUUUCGGAUUAGCUAGUUGGCGGGGUAAAGGACCACCAAGGCGACGAUCCGUACCUGGUCUGACAGGAUGAUCAGCCAAACUGGAACGGAGAAACGGUCCAGACUCCUAGGGGAGGCAGCGUUGGGGAAUUUUGGACAAGGAGCGAAAGCUGGAUCAAGCCAUACCGGGUGGUCGAAGAAGGCCUUCGGGCUUUAAAGCCUGUUUGUUGGGAAAGACAAGCAGCAGGUUAAUAACCCGCUGUUCUGACGGUACCCAAAGAAUAAGCAACGGCUAACUUCGUG